GCAUAUUGGUGAAACACCACAUGACUUAUUUAGUUCUCUCCCGUUUAUGUACUCGACAAUAUUAAAUGUUGGUCAACAUGGCAAGAGGUGAGGCAUAAUUAAACUACACUAUCUAAGCAAUUUAAAUGGGGCCGGAAACAACAAACAACAAUUCCGGAAAAUCCCCACAUGCAUAUUUUGAAUUUACUACUGUUCUGCCCUAAACACAAUUUUAAUGUUGGUAAACAGAAAAAUAAAGUACACCAUGUUAAACUAGGCAUUUUUCUACCCCAUUUACAUAUAAAGUUUAUUAAAUUCGGAGCUACGGUUAUUUAGUUAUGAAAUAAAGCAUUUUAGCAUGGCAUUUAAGCUAAUUAAUUCAAACAGCACAUUUAAACAUUUUAAGCAUGGAUGAAAGUUGGAUAUUUUGAAACUAGAUGAAAUUCUAAGCAUUUUACAUGUUUAAAUCAUUUUAAUCCAAUGCACGGUUUUGGAGUUAUUAUAUGCAUGAACAUUGAGGGGUAAACUGUAAAUAUGCAGUUUUCUGGAUAAUUGGCAAAUUCGCAGAACCAAAAAAAACAGGCCGAAACUAGAGGGGCUGGGGAAGCUCACCCAUGGGCUCGGCCCAGGAGUUGGGGGGAGGCCGCUGGGCCUGGCGCGACCCACGAGCAGCCGGAUCGGUCAACGGGCGAGGGGCGGGCGAGACGCUCUGCUCGUUACUGAAGAACGAGCAACAGAAGCAGCGGCAGGUUCACGUCAAUGCAGAAGAUGGCGCCGGGGAGGUUCUGGCGACGGGGUCGGUGCGAACCAGUGAGUAGGCGCCGGAGAUGGCCGGAUCUGGUGGCAAUUCGGGUCAAAACGAGGCAUGGCGGCGCCGGCGCGCUGUGGAAGAGGACCGGCAGCAGGGAUGUACUCCUGCGAACAUAUACAGGUUGUGAGAGAGUUUCAGAGAGGAGAGAAACAGAGAAGAAACGGGAAAAAGGAGGGAAGAACGGGCACAGGCGGCUAGAGGUGCUCACGAGCGAGCUGCGGUGGCUCGAGGCAGCGCAGGGGAUCGAGCGAGCAUCUUGACCUGAAGCAGGGGGCGCAGGGAAGCAGGGGCACGGGACUUGGCGCGAUGCGGGAAGAUGGAGGUCGUCGGCGGCACUUGGCGGCGGGGACGGCUGGAGGCUGCCGGAUCAGGACGGAUCCGGGACGAAGGGACCCGUUCCCGGCGAUGGCGAGACUGCUCCUGCUUGAACAGAGAGAGAGGCCGAGAGGUGAGAGGCAUCCAGAGGAAGCAGAGAAAGCGAGAGGAGGGAGAUGGCAGGGAGCGGGACGACCUGGUGGUGGUGACCGACGGCGAAGGGAGCUCCGGUGGUGCUGCUGCUUGCGGUGGCGCGCGGGAAGCACGGGAGGAGGGCGAUGGGGGUCGGCGUGGAGUGGAUCGAGGAGCUGCUCUGGUUGGCCGGGCGAGAGAAUUGGGGAGGAGCAGUGGGGAGCGCUGGUUGGUGGGUGGAGGAAAACGAGGAGAAGGGAUCCCGAGGUGGAUCGAGACCGGGGCUGGCGGCGGCGGAGGGGUUCGGAGGAUGGGACAGCUCUCCUCAAUUUUAGGGUUGGUCAAUAUAUAUCUCAUAGGGAUUAGAUUAGAGGCUAUUUGGGCCCUCCGAUUUAAAUCGGAUGAUCGAGAAAAAUAGGCUAGGAGAGUCCAACAAAGAAAACGGUGAUGUUAUAUAGAUGUUUGGGGAUGAUCCGGAUCCAAUGGUCACGACUGAGAGAUUCGGGUUCGGGACAGCUUCGGACGCGCACACGAGGGGUCUGUGCACUGUACAGAGAGACUCUGGUCUAGGCCAGAGGGCAAACGAAGAACAAGGUUGGUCUCGGAACGGUCAACGAAAGCAAGGGGGGACGCGGCAACUACGAGCGGAUGCAAGUUUAAAAACAAUGACGACAACGAGUGCCGAUGCAAUGCAAAAGAUGACAUGAUGAAAUGCAACAAACAAAUAAAACACACGGUGACAACGAAAACAUGGAAGGCAUCUGAAGUGUCGGUCUCGGGGCGUCACAACACUCCUCCACUUACAAGAGAUCUCGUCCCGAGAUCUAGGAUGGCACCGGAGAGAAACGGAAGAAGGAAGAGGUAAAACUAAGUUGCUUCUUUGACAAACGAGUGAAACCACGAACCUCGAGAGGUUUAACAAUUUGCAAGAAAGAAUGCAAUGGAGAUGAAUGAGAUUGCAAAACACUCCGUUAGCAAAGAGGAACAAAGAACAUUUGCGAGAGCCUUGUAGGUUGAAAGACAUGACAUAAGAGCUUCAUGGAACAAAGGAAUAUGGAGCCACACCGGUAUAACGAGAUAGCCAAGGAACAAGAAUGACAUAAUUUUGACAGCACUCCGGUUGAACAUGGAAUGAAUAGAACAAUAACUUGACAAGAUGGGAAAAUACUUGACGAGAGCAACAACACAAUGCCUCCGGAACAAAAGAACGAAUAGAAUGAAAAGAAGGGAGAAGACAAUAACAUCUUCUACCUCAAAUGAAUUUGAUAUAGCAUCCUUAAAAAGAAGGAUAGAACGGAGUUGUUGAAGAAUCAACAACGAAAAGAAUAAGCUUGCAGUGGACUUAUGGAAACAUCUCAACAUUUUGAGGUGACAAACGGCCACUAAAGGAAGCCAUUGAUUUGAGUGAGAGCACCAAGGCGAUGAAAAACUUCUUUCACCAAGAGGAUAGGAGAAAACUUGGAUCAUUGAUAAGCACCAUAAUAGCAACAUUCCUUAGGGAAGGCUUUAGGUGAAACAUGACACAAGAUAAAUCCAACGAAGAGAUUGGUGGAUUUAAAAUAUCUCAUUCUUGACAACAUGUGAAUCAUGAAACGCGAACUCAAAUUGUCAAGAAUGACAUAACACCACCUCAAAUGAUAAGGUAGAACGAAUUGCACUUUAGAAUGCAAGAUGACGAAUGCUUGAACUCCUCAGGACAAAACAUGUGUUGAACACCAUGUUUAUUUUAGAGUAUAGCUUGGCGGAUCUUAAGUUCGAGAGAAAUCUUGAAAAUAAUAAUUUAAGAAUGAAAGGAAUCCUUAACGAAGCACCAUGUUGAGCCUUCGUGAGAACUCCGGUCAAGAAUGAUCAAACGAAAGGAAAGCUGAAAAGAACUCCAGUAAUAAAAGGAUGAUAGAAAGAAAGAGAAGUUGAAAACACAAGGUGAAGCCUUGCAGUGAUAAGAUGAAGCUUUGAAAUGAUAUAACCGAGAAAACUUGGAACUCCGGAAAGAAAGAUGAACAAAUGAAAACAAGAAUUUUGAUGAACCUCCGGAAUAAGGAAUUGAAUUUACUCGAUGAAACAAAAAUAAGAAUUACAUUAUGCUCAUCCUUCACCAAUUAAAUUGAUGACAAGCAAUGGAUUUGGCAUACUACUUAUUCUCGUAGAAAGGAUUAAGAUAUAUAUGGCGCAAACUUGGGAAGGUCUUCAACGAACCACCGGUAGGAUUGGAAAGAACGAAUGAAUCUAUAUGAUAACGAAGGAAGAGAACUCUUGAACGAACCACCGUUAGAAUUGAAAAUGAACGAAGAAAAGAUAAAGAAACACCGGGAAGAAUUAGAAAAUGAACGAAGAUACUUGAGAGAAUUUAGAUACAAGUGAAACGAAGAGAUCAUGAACUGAUUAGAGAAUACUUGAAUGCUGCACCGGUAAGAUUUGGAGAACGAGAGCCGAAUGUUGAGAAUGAAUAAAUCUUCUGAAAUGAUGGCCUUUGGAGAAUCAAACUGAAAAGACUCAUGAAUUGCUCCGGAUGGGUGAAAAGAAUUCUCACAAUUGAAAACAAUUAUGAGAGGAUGGCAUGACGCUAGAACCAUGAAUCUUUGGAAGAACGGGUAAGGGUUUAAGAGGAACUCUUCUUCGGUCUUCAAAAUCCGAGAAUGACGAUGAGAAACACCAUGAAUUGUUGAGGCACUCCGGAAUGAAGAAUAGAAGGUUGAACCAGCGAUGAAAAGAAUUUAGAAGAUCUUGGAGAAAGACAUUUGACUGAUGAUAAUUCAUUCUUACGUCAAACUUUGCAAUGAAUUUGAGAAUAACUCCGGAAAGAAUUAGAAGAGUAGGUAAGAUCAUGGGAAAAGACCUGUGGGUUAUGGCCCACUCAAGAGAAACACCGUUGGAAUGAUUUUGAAGAGAGAUUGCACCGGUUGAAUUAAAUGGCUUGAAUGAGAUAGCAUCCUCAAAAGAACUUGAGUGAAUUGAGAAUGGAAACUUGAAUCUUCUGAGAUAUCUUCAUCACUCCAGAACAAUUGAAUAGCGAGAAAUGGAUGAUUAAGAGGUGCACCGGUACGAGAAAAACAUUUGAAAUGAGGAAAAGAUAUGAUCGACAAAGCUUGAAUUUAAUCCACUGGAGAAGAAAGAGAACGAAUAAUGAUGAAGUUAAGGCUCCGUUAGUAUCUUCCUGAGAAUCACCGGAUAAGAACAUUGACGGAAAAGAAUGGAGAGACUUCCCAUCUAUAAGAUGGAUACUUGAUGAAGAAAUCUGAGUCCUUGAAGAAAAAGGGUGGGAGGGCGGGGAAAACAAAGACAACUUGGGGCGGAUGAAGCAAACACCGUUGCAAAGAACUGAGAAUUGAUCUCGCGAAUGUUGAAAUGAUCGGAUCCACUUGAAAAAGAUCACGUCGGUUGGAAAAGAAUUGGCAUGACAAUCUCGAUGAUCAAGAAGGCUUAGUAUCCACAUAGAAAUAUGAGAACACCGCUUAGGGAAGGUAUGGAAUCAACACUUGGCAUUGAAGCAACUCGAAUACCACAAAACAAAACAAAAACAAAGGAUUUGGCUUGCAAAAUAAGCCGGAACAAACAUAUGAUAGAGAUUUCGUCCGAAGUUUUCGUGGUGGGGCCCACACGGGCUCGAUCGUACAGCACCAUCAUGUACAAGGCAGUGCACAUGCCAUACGAAGCGUCCCCGAGUCAGCAUAGCCAAGGACUCUUUAAGACACUACGAGACCACUGUAAAACCAACCGUGGAUAGGCAGACCACUAGACGUCGAACCCCAAUCUCAUAUCAUGCAUCUGUCGGAAAGAAAUCCUAUGAGCUACUUGAAUUCCCACUUAUAAACUCCCGAAACUUUCUGUUUAUGCAAUCAGGUGUUGGGGAUACAGGGGACACAAUAUAUCUCACCCAAACUAACAAUACCUAGAUCCAGUUGUAGCCAUCCUUCAACACAUAACCAAGAAACCUUCGGAAAUCAUUUACCUCAACCUUCGAAAAGCAUCCGUUAUACGAGUUAUGGCAAUACUCCCGAACUCCCGCCCCAGUACUGGGUGGCGUCGAGGUGAUCUCACCAACAACUGCAUAAAAGAGAUUUUCGAUGUCGGCGAAACUCAGGUAUUCCAGAACUGCAACGAUAAAAUUGUGACGACAACACCUCGGAGCUCAACUCCCCGGGACACUGCCACAACCCCUAAAUGUCAGGAGGCACCAAGAACAAUGUUCUCGUCACAAAACCAUCAGAACGAUUCCAAGAUACCCGCGUGAUCCUAAAAAAAAUUCGUGAAAUUUGAGGAGAGGAGAGUCAAAACUUCUACGUCAGGGGGCCUCACCAGAGCGACGAAGGGACUGAGGAGUAAAAAGAAUCCUACUCUUCGAUAUAUAUAAUCCUAAGACUCAAAACAUUUUUGUUCUAGACUCAACAACGCCAGCGAUUCGAUCAAGCAGGGGGCUCCUAAGUCGGGGAUGGCUCUGAUUACCAACUUGUAACGCCCAUGAUGCGGCUAUAUCUCCCACGUGUCGAGGCACGACUUAGAGGCAUAACCGCAUUGUAGGUAUUGUCGCAAGAAGGGUCAUCUUCACACAAUCCCAUGUAAUGAACAAGAAUGGGAUAAAGAGAGUUGGCUUACAAUCGCCACUUCACACAAAACAUAAAUAAAUUCAUACAUCAUCCAAAAUACACACAUAGACCGACUAUGGUCAAAUCCAAAUGAAAAGAAGAUAACCCCAAAUGCUAGAUCCCCGAUCGUCCCAACUGGGCUCCACUACUGAUCAUCAGGAAACGAAACAUAGUAACGACCAAGUUCCUCGUCGAACUCCCACUUGAGCUCGGUUGCGUCACCUGCACUGGUAUCGUCGGCGCCUGCAACUGUUUUGGUAGAAUCUGUGAGUCACGAGGACUCAGCAAUCUCACACCCGCGAGAUCAAGACUAUUUAAGCUUAUAGGAAGGAUGAGGUAAUGAGGUGGAGCUGCAGCAAGCACUAAGCAUAUAUGGUGGCUAACAUACGCAAAUAAGAGCGAGAAGAGGAGCAACGCAACGGUCGCGAAGCUAGAAGUGAUCAAGAAGUGAUCCUAAAACUGCUUAUGUUCAUACAUAACCCAAACCGUCUUCACUUCCCGGACUCCGCCGAAAAGAGACCAUCACGGCUACACACGCGGAUGAUGUAUUUUAAUUAAGUCAAGUGUCAUGUUCUCUACAAUCGGACAUUAACAAAUUCCCAUCUGCCACAUAACCGCGGGCACGGCUUUCGAAAGAUAAUACCCUGCAGGGGUGUCCCAACUUAGCCCAUUAUAAGCUCUCACGGUCAACGAAGGAUAUUCCUUCUCCCGGGAAGACCCGAUCAGUCUCGGAAUCCCGGUUUACAAGACAUUUCGACAAUGGUAAAACAAGACCAGCAAGACCACCCGCUGUGCCGACAAAUCCCGAUAGGAGCUGCACAUAUCUCGUCUCAGGGCACACCGGAUAAGCUAAGCGUACAGGUACCGACGUAACCCAAGUUGCCAAGGGAUGGUCCCGCACGGUGCUCUAGUUUGGACCAACACUCAAAGGAGCACUGGCCCGGGGGGUUAAAAUAAAGAUGACCCUUGAGUCUGCAGAACCCAAGGGAAAAAGGCUUAGGUGGCAAAUGUUAAAACCAAGGUUGGGCCUUGCUGGAGGAGUUUUAUUCAAGGCGAACUGUCAAGGGGGUCCCAUAAAUCACCCAACCGCGUAAGGAACGCAAAAUCAAGGAACAUAACACCGGUAUGACGGAAACUAGGGCAAGAGUGGAACAAAACACCAGGCAUAAGGCCGAGCCUUCCACCCUUUACCAAGUAUAUAGAUGCAUUAAUUAAAUAAGAGAUAUUGUGAUAUCCCAAAAUAUCCAUGUUCCAACAUGGAACCAACUUCAUCUUCACCUGCAACUAGCAACACUAUAAGAAGGGCUGAGCAAAAGCGGUAACUUAGCUAAACAACGGUUUGCUAGGAAAGGAUGGUUAGAGGUUUGACAUGGCAAUAUGGGAGGCAUGAUAUAACAAGUGGUAGGUAGCGCGGCAAAGCAAUAGAGCGAACAACUACCAAGCAAAGAUAGAAGUGAUUUCGAGGGUAUGGUCAUCUUGCCUGAGAUCCCGCAAGGAAGAAGAACGAGUCCAUGAAGAAGACAAACGGACGUAGUCGAACGAAUCCUCACAACUCCGGAACGAAACCGAAGCUAACGAGAGAAGCAAACCGGAAAGAAGCAAACAACAUGGUAAACAACCAUCACAGAAACAUGGCAUGAUGCGCAAUCAAAUAUGAUGCAUGUUCGGUUUAAAGAGGCAUGGCAUGGCAAAGUGCAACAAACAACUCUACAAGUUAAGUGGAGCUCAAUAUUAAAUGAGUUGCAUAUUGGUGAAACACCACAUGACUUAUUUAGUUCUAUCCCGUUUAUGUACUCGACAAUAUUAAAUGUUGGUCAACAUGGCAAGAGGUGAGGCAUAAUUAAACUACACUAUCUAAGCAAUUUAAAUGGGGCCGGAAACAACAAACAACAAUUCCGGAAAAUCCCCACAUGCAUAUUUUGAAUUUACUACUGUUCUGCCCUAAACACAAUUUUAAUGUUGUUAAACAGCAAAAUAAAGUACACCAUGUUAAACUAGGCAUUUUUCUACCCCAUUUACAUAUAAAGUUUAUUAAAUUCGGAGCUACGGUUAUUUAGUUAUGAAAUAAAGCAUUUUAGCCUGGCAUUUAAGCUAAUUAAUUCAAAUAGCACAUUUAAACAUUUUAAGCAUGGAUGAAAGUUGGAUAUUAUGAAACUAGAUGAAAUUCUAAGCAUUUUACAUGUUUAAAUCAUUUUAAUCCAAUGCACGGUUGUGGAGUUAUUAUAUGCAUGAACAUGGAGGGGUAAACUGUAAAUAUGCAGUUUUCUGGAUAAUUGGCAAAUUCGCAGAACAAAAAAAAA
rnacentral:lncRNA from 1 species